rnacentral:sRNA from 1 species
AAAGAUGGCUAUUGUGACAAGGCUUGUAAUAAUUCAGCCUGCGAUUGGGAUGGUGGGGAUUGCUCUGGUAACAGUGGAGGGAGUCGCUAUAUUGCAGGAGGUGGAGGUGCUGGGAGUAUUGGAGUUGGACAGCCCUGGCAGUUUGGUGGAGGAAUAAACAGUGUCUCUUACUGUAAUCAGGGAUGUGCGAAUUCCUGGCUCGCUGAUAAGUUCUGUGACCAAGCGUGCAAUGUCUUGUCCUGUGGGUUUGAUGCUGGCGACUGUGGGCAAGGUAUGUUUACUGCCAAACAAAUAAGAAUGGGAGGAUAAAAAAAUCCUUGACAGGUAGAGAGAGUUUUGAAUGGCUUUUGUUAUUUAAAAUAAUGAUUCUCUGUGUAUCCCUUUACCAGCCUUGCAUUCAAACUAGUUAUAAAAGUAAGAGAACAACAUAAAUCACUAAAGAGGAUCUUUUCCUGUUAUUGUUGUAGUCUGGUGUUUUGUUUUGUUUUGUUUUGUUUUGUUUUGUUUUGUUUGGACCAAGCAGAUUUACCUUAGCUGAAAAUAUGUGGUGAAGUUUUAAUUUGGAAACAAAAAAGGAUAUCAGUAAUUCAUUAAAUAAAGAUGGUUCAAAUACUGGA